AGGGGCGUGGUGCAGGGUGCACCGCUGCAUUCAACGCCGAAUCUUCACUCUAUAUGCAGCAGGUCGGGGUUCGAUUCCCCGCGUCCCGA